rnacentral:rRNA from 1 species
CCUACGGGUGACAGCAGUGGGGAAUAUUGGGCAAUGGGCGCAAGCCUGACCCAGCAACGCCGCGUGAAGGAAGAAGGCUUUCGGGUUGUAAACUUCUUUUGUCAGGGACGAAGCAGGUGACGGUACCUGCCGAAUAAGCCACGGCUAACUACGUGCCAGCAGCCGCGGUAAUACGUAGGUGGAACGCGUUAUCCGGAGUUAUUGGGUGUAAAGGGCGUGUAGGCGGGAAUGCAAGUCAGAUGUGAAAACUAUGGGCUCAACCCAUAGCCUGCAUUUGAUACUGUAUGUCUUGAGUGCUGGAGAGGCAAGCGGAAUUCCGUGUGUAGCGGUGAAAUGCGUAGAGAUACGGAGGAAUACCAGUGGCGAAGGCGGAUUGCUGGACAGUAACUGACGCUGAGGUGCGAAAGCGUGGGGAGCAAACAGGAUUAGAUACCCGAGUAGUC